AAAAGUACUUACUAGGGUUCCGUAACGUUUUUUCGUUAGUCUGGUCCAAGAGUAAGCUCGUGGUUUUACUACGAAACACGGAGGGACAAAAGCCUGGGAGAU
rnacentral:sRNA from 2 species